UGAGGAACAUGACCUUCGGCGGGGGAUAGCCGGCCCAACGGCCGGGUAAUACCGCGUACGACCACAUGGGGACACCCCUGAGUGGUGAAAGCAGCAAUGCGCCGAUGGAGUGCCUCGCGGCCUAUCAGCUAGUUGGUGAGGUAACGGCUCACCAAGGCGACGACGGGUAGCUGGUCUGAGAGGAUGGCCAGCCACUAGUGGACUAGGAACGACCGACCGGCCCAAGUACCUCCCGGUAAGGGACGGACG
rnacentral:rRNA from 1 species